UACGUAGGGUGCAAGCGUUGUCCGGAAUUAUUGGGCGUAAAGAGCUCGUAGGUGGUUUGUCGCGUUGUUCGUGAAAACUCACAGCUUAACUGUGGGCGUGCGGGCGAUACGGGCAGACUGGAGUACUGCAGGGGAGACUGGAAUUCCUGGUGUAGCGGUGGAAUGCGCAGAUAUCAGGAGGAACACCGGUGGCGAAGGCGGGUCUCUGGGCAGUAACUGACGCUGAGGAGCGAAAGCGUGGGUAGCGAACAGGA
rnacentral:rRNA from 1 species